GAACAUUACCAAUUGAGCUUGACAAUUUCAUCUCCUCAAUAACUUAAUCCGGUAUAAUCAAACCAACAUAUGCUCUCUACAAGUCUAUCCCUUGAUGCACAGGGUUGCCAAUCGCAAUGCGAUAAUAACUAUCGAUGAUGCCCAACACCUGUCUCCACGAGACCUAGGGAUGCGAAUGGAUCCGGGGUAGUGGAGCUCCCGCCCCGAUCCGCCCCGAAUGGGGCAGUAAACGGGAGGAAAUAAACGGAUUCAGGGCAGGAAACGGGGCAAUUUUUAUAAUCCGUGGCGGAUUCGGGGCAGGAAAUGGGAAAAUUUUUGAUCCACCCCGAAUCCGCCCCGCCAUGAUCCGCCCCGAAUCCGCCCCGAAUGUAUGUCUUUAAAAUUUUUCCAUAUGUAUGUAUUUAAAAUUUUUGAAUUUUGUUGCGAGUUGUGAUUGAUAUUUUUGAUUUUUAUAGUUGAUAUUAUUAAUUAUAUAUAACUUGAUAAUAUUAUCAAUUAAUAUUAAAAAUUUUGUUGAUUUAGAUUUAUAAAAUAUUAAUAAUAUUAUAAUUUAUAAAACAAAUACUAUUUGGCGGGGCGGAUUCGGGGCAUUAGCGGGAG
rnacentral:lncRNA from 1 species